rnacentral:rRNA from 1 species
GAUGAACGCUGGCGGCGUGCUUAACACAUGCAAGUCGAACGAACCUUCGGGUUAGUGGCGGACGGGUGAGUAACGCGUGAGAAUCUGCCCUCAGGAGGGGGGAUAACGGUUGGAAACGACCGCUAAUACCCCCAUAUGCCGCGAGGUGAAAUGAAUUUCGCCUGAGGAUGAGCUCGCGUCUGAUUAGCUAGUUGGUGGGGUAAAGGCCUACCAAGGCAUCGAUCAGUAGCUGGUCUGAGAGGAUGAUCAGCCACACUGGGACUGAGACACGGCCCAGACUCCUACGGGAGGCAGCAGUGGGGAAUUUUCCGGCAAUGGGCGAAAGCCUGACGGAGCAACGCCGCGUGAGGGAUGAAGGCCUCU